CUCUCUCUCUCUCUCUCUGUUGUUCUUGUGUUCAUAUUCACUCACAGUUACAGCUUCUCUUGGUUGCAGCCCAUAGUUUUUUGCUCCUUCCAAAAGCUUUAAAGCUUCUUUCAUUCUGCUCUUCCUCAUACCAAACCCCACACUCAUGGGUGGUCAAGGAAAGGUCUUUACUUUGGCUGAGGUCUCUGAGCAUAACCACCACAAAGAUUGCUGGCUUGUUAUUGAGGGGAAGGUAUGCACACCAUGUUUUCUGAUCCAAUUUCGUUAAUUCCCAUUUCAUUGGUUGAUUGGUUUAUAUUUUCUUUGAUUUUAUUUUGGGUGCAAUUCUCCUAACUGGAUCCGUGAAGAUUUUUGGUGUUUGCUGGGUUGAUGGCAUUUUAUUGAAUAAAUGGUAUUUUGUUAUCUGUGUUUGCUCGAUUAAUAAUUUUGAUUUGUUGUUUAUGUAUUUGUUUUUGUUGGCUUGAUCUUGACAUGGUAAUAAAUUCAAUUUUCGUGUUUGGGUUAAUAGAUCUCUUUUAAAAAUACAUUUCUACUUGAGCAUCUGCCUUGCAUGUAGAACUUUGGGAUGCAACAGUUGAUUGUUUGUUCAAGGAUGAUCAUAUUAGGACUCUGUGAUGAUAAAUUUGAGCUGCAUGUGCUACAAUCGAUUGGUAUAACCUGAAAGAUAAAUGUGGUAGGCUGCAGACGGUUAUGAGUCAGGAAAUUUAAGAUCUUCUAUUUUAUUUGUUCGUUUAUCUUCGUUGCUUAAUAACUUCAGAUGGGCAUGGCAGGAGAUUCUUCAGAUGCAUAACUUAUUAAAGCCAAACCUAUCUGUUGGUAAAUCACUAAAUUGGGUGAUAUACAUCGAAAGUUAUUAAAACAUGCAAGCCUAGGAGUCUGAUAGCUGAGAUCUAAAAUGCUUCACAUAAUGAUGAUGUGGUCAAUAUGGAGAAUUUGAUUUGAUUUGUGAUUAUAAAUGGUUCUCUUUUGAUUGCUUAUUUACUGCAUAAGAAUGAUUUCAUUGUGAUAAGUUAUUUUUUUAAAUCAUUGGUAUAUCACAUGCAUCAAGAACUCAAUUUAUUCUCAAGAGUUAUGGAGUUGAUUUUGGGCCCUUAAUUCUUUGAUAUAGUUCUCAAUGAGAACUCAACAUUUCACAGAGAAGUGUUCCUAUUUUUCAGUUUGGUUCACUGGAAAACUUGAGUUGCUGAACUUUUAAGCACCUUUUAGCAGGUUAUGUCUUUAUGAACCUGUUAUGAAUAUAUAUUCACGUUGAUUGUGUUGGGAACUUAAAUCGAUUUAUAGGAUCUUAACAA
rnacentral:misc_RNA from 1 species